AGCUCCAACAGCGUAUAUUAAAGUUGCUGCAGGUAAAACGCUCGUAGUUGUUGUCCAACUAUAAAUCAUACUUCUAUCGAAGUUUUGAUUCAUUAGUUUAGCAGAAGCUUCUUCUGCCAAAACCUUGAGGAAGGUUCCAAGCAAUUCAAGUUUGUCCUCCCCAGCAUGGUAUAUAACCAAAUCGAAGGAGAAGUUUGCCAAUUCUUCAUCAUACUAAAUAGAAAUUCUAGGGGGUAUACGUACUUUAAUGUCAGUGGUGAAAUUCCUAGAUGACGAUCAAAUGCGAAAGCAUUCACCAAGCGACUUUUCU
rnacentral:rRNA from 1 species